rnacentral:rRNA from 1 species
GACGAACGCUGGCGGCGUGCUUAACACAUGCAAGUCGAACGGAAAGGCCCUGCUUUUGUGGGGUGCUCGAGUGGCGAACGGGUGAGUAACACGUGAGUAACCUGCCCUUGACUUUGGGAUAACUUCAGGAAACUGGGGCUAAUACCGGAUAGGAGCUCCUGCUGCAUGGUGGGGGUUGGAAAGUUUCGGCGGUUGGGGAUGGACUCGCGGCUUAUCAGCUUGUUGGUGGGGUAGUGGCUUACCAAGGCUUUGACGGGUAGCCGGCCUGAGAGGGUGACCGGCCACAUUGGGACUGAGAUCCGGCCCAGACUCCUACGGGAGGCAGCAGUGGGGAAUAUUGCACAAUGGGCGGAAGCCUGAUGCAGCAACGCCGCGUGCGGGAUGACGGCCUUCGGGUUGUAACCGCUUUCGCCUGUGACGAAGCGUGAGUGACGGUAAUGGGUAAAGAAGCACCGGCUAACUACG